rnacentral:rRNA from 1 species
UACGUAGGGUGCGAGCGUUGUCCGGAAUUAUUGGGCGUAAAGAGCUCGUAGGCGGUUUGUCACGUCUGCUGUGAAAUCCCGAGGCUCAACCUCGGGCCUGCAGUGGGUACGGGCAGACUGGAGUGCGGUAGGGGAGAAUGGAAUUCCUGGUGUAGCGGUGGAAUGCGCAGAUAUCAGGAGGAACACCGAUGGCGAAGGCGGUUCUCUGGGCAUUACCUGACGCUGAGGAGCGAAAGUGUGGGGAGCGAACAGG